GACGAACGCUGGCGGCGUGCUUAACACAUGCAAGUCGAACGGUGAACGGGUGAGCUUGCUCCCUCCGGAUCAGUGGCUAACGGGUGAGUAACACGUGCGCAAUCUGCCCCGAACUCUGGGAUAAGUAGUGGAAACGACGUCUAAUACCGGAUACGACGCGGGAGUGAAUCCUCUCCGCGUGGAAAGAACGGAGGUUCGGGCUGAGCUCGCGGCUUAUCAGCUUGUUGGUGAGGUAACGGCUCACCAAGGCGACGACGAGUAGCCGGCCGGAGAGGGUGACCGGGCACACUGGGACACACACACGGCCCAGACUCCUAAGGGAGACAGGGGUGGGGAAGGUUGCACGAUGGGCGCAAGCCUGAUGCAGCAACGCCGCGCGAGGGAUGACGACCUUCGUUUAGACAACAGCUAUUGGCAGUGAGGAUACGAGACUGACGGUACCUGCAGAAAAAGCACCGGCUAACUCCGUG
rnacentral:rRNA from 1 species